UAUUUAAAGCUGAACGGAACGUGUGUUCAAACCUGAAGCUUUCCAUGUUGUCAUAGCUGAACGGGUUCUGUCAUCGUCAGUGAGUUGGAGACCAUUUCAACUAUCGCAAAUCACUUGCAAUUUGAAGAAUUUUCUGCGUGACAGUGCCAAAGUACGUGCGAGAACCACGAGAACAACCGCGCCCCCUGCUGAUAUGGGUGUAAAAAUGCUGCAGUGCUUUCCCUUCUACAGACGCUGCAAGGAGAGGUGCAAAAGACAGUGCCCUCCUGAGACGGUAGUAGCAAGUGAAGAGAUGAAACCUCGGUUGUCCUCCACCACCUCCUGGGGCAGUGAAGGGGACAGCGGCAGCAGUCCGAGUUGCCCACAGGCCUAUUUUUCCCACAAGGCUCGUCUCUCACUUCGACACCAGAUGGAUAGCAACAUCAAUGCAGUGGACGCCACAUACUAACUUUGUUCUGCAAGUGGUCCCUGGAGAAUCCUUGAAAGUAAGCAUCAGAUUUACAGCCCUAAUCCAGUUUUAAUCCCUCAUUGGAGAGCUUUUGAGGGGAACUGGAGGAUGAGCCAUUAGGAGGAACAAGCAGCAUGGAAAUUUGCCUCUCCUUGCAUGCCCAUGAACACUCAUGAAUGUCAGCUGUAUGCAUUGUAACAAUGUCAAGAUACGUGUUUGAAGUUUUCUAACAUUAACGGUACAGCUGAGUGUAAUUUGGUAAAAGGGGAAAUUGUGGAACACAAUCUUAGGAGCGACGUUUACAUGAUCACCAACAAGUGCUUUUUUCUAGCUUGUAGCAUCUGCCCUCCACAGUCUCUGCUAUAUAUGCAUCUAUACUAUCUGAACUGGAUGCUUCUGGUUGGUUUUAUCUGAGGAGACUCUGAUAAUCUUAAAGGGAUAGUUCACCCAAAAAUGAAAACUCAUCAUUUAAUCAACCUUAUGUUGUUUUAAAGCACAAGUUUCUUUCUUCUGUUGAACUAAAAUGGAGAUAUUUUAAAGAAUUUUGGUAACCAGACAAUUGACUGUAGCCAUUGACUUCUAUAGUAGCAAAAAAAAAUACAUUUUUGGGUGAACUGUUCCUUUAAGGGAUGUGUUUUGUGUGUUUUGAGCCAGAUAUGAAUUUGUUCAGCAGUCUACCUAUUAUUUUGCCUGUCAAAUUCAACCACGCUUUGCCUCGCUGAUCAUAAAUUCAGUGUAUUGUAAAAGCAUCAAAAUGUUUUUUUUUCUUUCAUAUAAACAGGAAGGUUUCUAAAGGUUAUUUUGCUUUCUAUGUAAGUGCCAUUUUCUCUACCCUACAAGCUGUCCAUUAACAGUGUGCUCUGCUCUAACCGUGUUCAUUUUCAUUAUGUAUAGAUUUCAGGGCUUUCUGAAAUAUGCCCAGUCAUAAACAUUUUUUUUUUUUUGAAAAGUGUUUGUUUCAUGAACUCUAUGUAACAUCAAACUAAUGUAUGAUGAGGGUUUUCCAGUUUCUAAAUCUUUAAAAGGUUUUCUUCCUAUUGUAUGUAUAAAACCAGUCGAGGGAAUGGAUAUUUGUCAUGAUCCACUCAUUGCUUCUGUUUCAACAUGUUUGAAAAACAGGUUUUAGAUGCUAAUGAUGUGCGUCUGGCCAUCUUCACUUUGUCGUGUGCACAUGUAUUAACAUUUGUAUUUUUUUAGAUGUUAAAUAUGUAUUUUUACACCCUGACCCAGAAAAAGAACAGAAGACACUGUUACACCUCUGAAGUCACAAUUAAUCUGAAAGAGAUAUUUUUGUAUGUUUUAUAUGAAACAACGUGUAAAUCAAUUUUCUAAAUAAUAAUAAUAAUGAAAAAGACAGCAAACUAAAUAAUAUAGCACAUGUACUUUUGCUUUCAUUGAUGAUUGUAAAACAAUAAAACUUUGUCAAAAAGAAACAA